CCUACGGGCGGCAGCAGUGGGGAAUAUUGGACAAUGGGCGAAAGACUGAUCCAGCCAUGCCGCGUGUGUGAAGAAGGCCUUCGGGUUGUAAAGCACUUUCAGUGGGGAAGAAAGCCUUGGGGCUAAUACCCUCGAGGAAGGACAUCACCCACAGAAGAAGCACCGGCUAACUCCGUGCCAGCAGCCGCGGUAAUACGGAGGGUGCGAGCGUUAAUCGGAAUUACUGGGCGUAAAGCGCGCGUAGGCGGUCUGAUAAGCCGGUUGUGAAAGCCCCGGGCUCAACCUGGGAACGGCAUCCGGAACUGUCAGGCUAGAGUGCAGGAGAGGAAGGUAGAAUUCCCGGUGUAGCGGUGAAAUGCGUAGAGAUCGGGAGGAAUACCAGUGGCGAAGGCGGCCUUCUGGACUGACACUGACGCUGAGGUGCGAAAGCGUGGGUAGCAAACAGGAUUAGAUACCCGGGUAGUC
rnacentral:rRNA from 1 species